rnacentral:rRNA from 1 species
UGGGGAAUUUUGGACAAUGGGGGAAACCCUGAUCCAGCCAUCCCGCGUGUGCGAUGAAGGCCUUCGGGUUGUAAAGCACUUUUGGCAGGAAAGAAACGUCAUGGGUUAAUACCCCGUGAAACUGACGGUACCUGCAGAAUAAGCACCGGCUAACUACGUGCCAGCAGCCGCGGUAAUACGUAGGGUGCAAGCGUUAAUCGGAAUUACUGGGCGUAAAGCGUGCGCAGGCGGUUCGGAAAGAAAGAUGUGAAAUCCCAGAGCUCAACUUUGGAACUGCAUUUUUAACUACCAGGCUAGAGUGUGUCAGAGGGAGGUGGAAUUCCGCGUGUAGCAGGGAAAUGCGUAGAUAUGCGGAGGAACACCGAUGGCGAAGGCAGCCUCCUGGAAUAACACUGACGCUCAUGCACGAAAGCGUGGGGAGCAAACAGG